GACGGAGGGUGCAAGCGUUGUUCGGAAUUACUGGGCGUAAAGCGUACGUAGGUGGCGGAUUAAGUCGAAUGUUAAAGCCUGGGGCUCAACCCCAGAGAUGCAUUCGAUACUGGUCUGCUAGAGGGUGAUAGAGGAAAGCGGAAUUCCCAGUGUAGCGGUGAAAUGCGUAGAUAUUGGGAGGAACAUCAGUAGCGAAGGCGGCUUUCUGGGUCACACCUGACACUGAGGUACGAAAGCGUGGGGAGCAAACGGG
rnacentral:rRNA from 1 species